rnacentral:lncRNA from 1 species
CUUCAUUUGAGAAUAAGUAAAAAUGUCAGGGUCCUUUAAAUGCAAACCUAACGAUCCUUGUGCCGGAAGUGGCGUAACCGGAAGACAAACCGACACUUCUAUGGCGGUGUUUUCCACUGUGACUUCGCUAUUCGCUGAUGCGGUAUCUAAGCGAAGAUUUUUGCUUUUCGUAGUGGUAUGUUUCGUAAAGAUGACUCAUCUGCACACCGUCUGUCAGCUAUAGCCAAAGUAUAUAUACAUUAAGCCGUAAUCGAAGAGAUGGAUGACAUCCAGGAGAGCUCAGAGCCAGGCAGUCCUCUGUACAGUCCCUGUGUGGAGCCAGACACACCGGAUUCCCUGAAUAAUGCCUGUCUGUUGAAUGACAGUGACCCCCUGUUUGAAGACCUUGGACACUUUCAUCAAUUUUCCUCCACUUUUGUUCCCGAGACCCCUAGCCCCUUGACUCAGAGAAGAAAACGUAAUUUCCUGAAAGAUAGCGACAGAAAUGUGGCAACAUCAUCCUGUUCAGAUGGAAGAAAAUGGGAAAGACAUGAACACGUUCCAGGUUACCUUAGCACCACUCCAAGCUCCCAGAGAACGAUGAAGCGGCGCAGGCUGGAGGACUCGAGCGCAAGCACGCUGUGUGGACACUCUUCCGUUACACCAGGAGCAAACGGAUUUGUAAUGGCCUCGUCUCUUUUACCCUCUGAUUUUACAUGGUUGGAGUCACCGCGUCCAACAACCUCCUCUGCUUCUCAUGUUUCUGCAUCCUCCAAACCCUCGUCCUCAGCUGGGUCUUCCACGUCUGCGCUGGAUCAAACUAGUGAUCCGGCAUAUUUAAAUGAGCUGCUAGUAAUGGGUCACCCCUCUAAGCAAAAGACACUAAACACCAGCAAUGGAAGGGAACAGAGGUCCAAAAAGACCAAAUCUAAAGCCUCUAAAAGUACAUCAGCACACUCUUCUUUACACGCAAUAGAGCAUGAAGCUUCACUGCUGGAUGCAGCAAAGAGAAUGCAGGAACCAGCAAGUUCACUUGUGUGUCCGAUACCAGAAGAUAUUGUCAUCAUAGAGGAGGAUGCUGAUGAUGUCGUGGUGGAGAGCAUGGUUCGCUCCGUUCAGAUGUCUGAGGAUGAAGCGUAUGCCAGAAGCCUUCAGGAACAGUUUGAUAUGGAGGAGCGAAUGGAGCAGCAGAGGCGACAGAGCAGAUCGCCAAGCAGAAACAACCACAUGGUUGAUCCGUAUGUUGGCUUGGGCUGGAUUCCUCCUUGGGCCUCAAUGAUCAACUCUGCACCUUUCUCACACGGACCCUCUGAGCUUUCAGAGCUGCAGCAGGUCAUCUUUGGAGAGCAACCCCGUAAGUCACCAUACAUGAGCCAAUCUCUGUCUUGAUGAUUUCUUUUGAAUUAAAAGCAGGUUUUAAUACAUUUUAAAAAUCAUAUUAG